rnacentral:rRNA from 1 species
UACGUAGGGGGCAAGCGUUGUUCGGAAUUACUGGGCGUAAAGGGCGCGUAGGCGGCACGGCAAGUCAGGAGUGAAAGGCCUGGGCUCAACCGAGGAACUGCUUUUGAGACUGCCGAGCUAGAGUGCAGAAGGGGCAACUGGAAUUCCCAGUGUAGCGGUGAAAUGCGUAGAGUAUUGGGAAGAACACCUGAGGCGAAGGCGGGUUGCCUGGGCUGACGACUGAGCGUGAGGCGCGAAAGCCAGGGAGGCAAACGGG